CAGCCCGCUGGGGUGUGGGCUCGGGCUGCGCUCCGCUCUGCUCCCUUGCUCCGGAGCCCGCGCGGGCUCCGGCUCCAGCUGCCAGGGCGAGGGGGCCGGCCAGGGGCGCCGCCGAGGUCCCGGGCCCCGGAAAUCGGGCGGGGACGGGAACCGGCUGGGGCCGCGAGGCCGCCUGACUCAGCCGCACGCUCAGAUUUCGGGUUUUCUCGCCCGGGCCGGAGCGCGUAACUUCCUCAUUCCCGCCUGGACCCCCGCUCCCAGCGCGCCCGGCCCGGCCGGAGCCCUGGCAGCCCCGCCCCCUCUCGACCACCCCCGGCUUCGGCGCGGCCCCAGCUCGGGGCCAUCCCGGCCUGGCUUGGUGUCCCCCGGGCUCUGCUUACGGGCCAGGGGCCAGGACUGAGGGACUCUGGAUGAAGGACUGAGGAUGGAGUCCCCUGAGAACCUCUUCCCGUCCGGGGAUGACCUGGACUCCAGCCAGUUACAGAUGGAGUCGGAUGAGGUGGACACUCUGAAGGAGGGAGAGGACCCAGCUGACAGGAUGCACCCCUUUCUGGCGAUCUAUGACCUUAAACCUCUGAAAGCGCACCCGUUGGUGUUCGCCACUGGUGUUCCUGUCACAGCCCAGGUGGUGGGCACUGAAAGAUACACCAGUGGAUCCAAGUUCCUCACACUCCCAGGUGGGAACCUGCACUCUGUAUUCUGUCCGCUUGACUCAUGGCGACUUUACCUGGACAACCAAGAAAAAGUUCCGUCAUUUCCAGGACCUGCAUCGGGACCUCAUGAGACACAAAGUCUUGAUGAGUCUGCUCCCUCUGGCUCGGUGAGGGGGACCAGACUGCUUCCUGUGAAGGGCAGCUUUGCCGUUCCCUAUUCUCCCACCAGAGAGGCAGCCAACAGGGACAUGCCUUCUCUGCCCCGAUCAGGUCCUGAGGGCUCCACCAGACAUGCAGCCAGCAAACAGAAAUACCUGGAGAAUUACCUCAACCGCCUCUUGACCAUGUCUUUCUACCGCAACUACCAUGCCAUGACAGAGUUCCUGGAAGUCAGUCAGCUGUCCUUUAUUCCAGACCUGGGCACCAAAGGACUGGAGGGGGUGAUCCGGAAGCGCUCAGGCGGCCACCGUGUUCCUGGCCUCACCUGCUGUGGCCGAGACCAAGUCUGUUAUCGCUGGUCCAAGAGGUGGCUGGUGGUGAAGGACUCCUUCCUGCUGUACAUGUGCCUCGAGACUGGCACCAUCUCAUUUGUUCAGCUCUUUGACCCUGGCUUCGAGGUGCAGGUGGGGAAAAGGAGCACAGAGACACGGUAUGGGGUGCGGAUCGACACCUCCCACAGGUCCCUGAUUCUCAAGUGCAGCAGCUACCGGCAGGCACGGUGGUGGGGCCAGGAGAUCACUGAGCUGGCACAGGGCCCAGGCAGAGACUUCCUGCAGCUACACCGGCAUGACAGCUACGCCCCGCCCAGGCCUGGGACCUUAGCCCGGUGGUUUGUGAAUGGGGCAGGUUACUUUGCUGCUGUGGCAGAUGCCAUCCUGCAAGCGCGAGAGGAGAUUUUCAUCACAGACUGGUGGUUGAGUCCUGAGGUUUACCUGAAGCGUCCGGCCCACUCAGACGACUGGAGACUGGACAUUAUGCUCAAGAGGAAGGCGGAGGAGGGCGUCCGUGUGUCCAUACUGCUAUUUAAGGAAGUGGAAUUAGCCUUGGGCAUCAACAGUGGCUAUAGCAAGAGAACUCUGAUGCUGCUGCACCCCAACAUAAAGGUGAUGCGCCACCCAGACCAGGUGACGCUGUGGGCCCAUCAUGAGAAGCUCCUGGUGGUAGACCAAGUAGUGGCCUUCCUGGGCGGGCUGGACCUUGCCUAUGGCCGCUGGGAUGACCUGCACUACCGACUGACUGACCUCGGGGACUCCUCUGAGUCAGCCGCCUCACAGCCUCCCACCCCGUGCCCAGACUCUCUGGCCACCCCAGACCUCUCUCACAACCAAUUCUUCUGGCUGGGCAAGGACUACAGCAAUCUUAUCACCAAGGACUGGGUGCAGCUGGACAAGCCCUUUGAAGAUUUCAUUGACAGGGAUACUACACCCCGGAUGCCAUGGCGGGAUGUUGGGGUGAUUGUCCAUGGCCUGCCUGCCCGGGACCUCUCCCGGCACUUCAUCCAGCGCUGGAACUUCACCAAGACCACCAAGGCCAAGUACAAGAUACCUAUGUACCCCUACCUGCUGCCCAAGUCCACCAGCACUGCAAACCAGCUCCCCUUCACGCUCCCAGGGGGACAGUGCACCACUGUGCAGGUCUUGCGGUCAGUGGACCGCUGGUCAGCGGGAACUUUGGAGAACUCCAUCCUCAAUGCCUACCUGCACACCAUCAGAGAGAGCCAGCACUUCCUCUACAUUGAGAAUCAGUUCUUCAUUAGCUGCUCAGAUGGGCGGACGGUUCUGAACAAGGUGGGCGAUGAGAUCGUGGACAGAAUCCUGAAGGCCCACAACCUCUCCCCAGACAGGGGCAGUGUUUCCGAGUCUACGUGCUUUUGCCCUUGCUCCCAGGCUUUGAGGGUGACAUCUCCACAGGUGGUGGCAACUCCAUCCAGGCCAUUCUGCACUUUACUUACAGGAGCCUGUGCCGUGGGGAGUAUUCCAUCCUCCAUCGCCUCAAAGCAGCCAUGGGGACCGCGUGGCGGGACUAUAUUUCCAUCUGCGGGCUUCGCACUCACGGAGAGCUGGGCGGGCACCCAGUCUCAGAGCUCAUCUACAUCCACAGCAAGUUGCUUAUUGCGGAUGAUCGGACAGUCAUCAUUGGUUCUGCAAAUAUCAAUGACCGGAGCUUAUUGGGAAAGCGGGACAGUGAGCUGGCUGUGCUGAUUGAGGACACAGAGAUGGAACCAUCCCUCAUGGAUGGGGCAGAGUAUCAGGCGGGCAGGUUUGCCUCGAGUUUACGGAAACACUGCUUCAGUGUGAUUCUUGGGGCAGAUGCCCGGCCAGACCUGGAUCUCCGAGACCCUGUCUGUGAUGACUUCUUCCAGCUGUGGCAAGAGACAGCUGAGAGAAAUGCCAAUAUCUAUGAGCAGAUCUUCCGCUGCCUGCCGUCCAAUGCCACACGUUCCCUGCGGACACUCCGAGAGUAUGUGACUGUGGAGCCCCUGGCCACAGUCAGCCCUCCCUUGGCCCGGUCUGAGCUCACCCACAUCCAGGGCCAUCUGGUACACUUCCCCCUCAAGUUCCUAGAGGAUGAGUCUUUGCUGCCCCCCCUGGGCAGUAAGGAGGGCAUGAUACCCCUAGAAGUGUGGACAUAGCUGAGGCUCCAGAUGAGGAGAGGUCACCAGCUGCUGGGGUCCACCAGAUCUGGCUCCCUUACCUUAACCCUGAGGUCAGAGGGCAGUGCCCUCUGGGGAGACAGGCAUCCCUGAAGGGGACUAGAGAAGAAGUCACAGAAGACCUUGACUUGAGAAGGAGCCAAAGAGGGCACUCCCAACGCAGGGCUGGGGUGGCAGGAGAGAGUCCAAAGGAAUUUCAUCCUCCCUGCUGCCCAGUUCAAACCACUACCACAGAGGAGAAGCACAACUCCUGCCAGGGUGAUCAGGGUCAAGCCUCUUAUUCCAGGAGGAGUGGACUCUGCCCUAGGCCUUCCCCAUCUCCCCUUCCUCCUCCUGCCCCUAAACCCCCUCCCUGCCCCAGGGCCUCUCCUAGCCUAGUACUGCCAAGGUGGAGGGAAGGAUGAAGCCACUUUUGGCUUCAGCCUCCACUAGAGAUGGGAAGGGGGGCACACUAACUCCCUGUACCAACCCGCUGACAGACACUAACUCUGUAUCCGUUUGGUAAGCAUUUCAUAAAUAAAAGUAUAGAAAAGG